rnacentral:lncRNA from 1 species
GCCCAGUCAGGAGCUGACCACCACGUGUUGGUGCAUUUAUUGGGGCUCGGUUGGGGGGACCUGUGCAGGAUCACACCACCAGCUGAAGGAGCGCGGCCCCAAGUCAGUGCUCCCCGUCCAGGGCGCAGAGCCGCAGGGGGCAGAAGCCCGACAGGGGGCUGCCUACGAAGGGGGGUGGGCGUGUCGAGGCCCCUCCUCCACCGAGUGCCCGUCGGAACCCGCUCAAGGGGCGGUGGUGAUCCCUGGUGUAGCACAACAGUACUUGGCAUACAGAAGUGGGAUCUGAAGGUGGAUGCCGGGAGGAUGCCUGAUGCCUCAGAGAUGAGCAAGGUACCUGAAGAAAUCCUUUCCAUUCCAUCCUCUCCAGGAUCCCUCCUGGAUCAUUUGGUUAGCCUGUAGCAAAUCUUUGAACUACCACCAUGUUGCAUUUGAGGUCAAAAUCCAUUUGUUGCAGGACCUCUGUCCCAGCCUCUGUUUUGGCCAUCAGGUAAGAGAAUUCUCUUCUUUUGCUGUUUCUGUUCCUUUGCUGUUUCUCUAGACUGACUGUGGAAACAAUAAGUUUUAUAUUUCUGUGCUUCUGUGUUUCUGUGCUUUGUGUCUGUCUGUUUAAUAUAUAUUUUCCUACCUCUGAAUGGUAAUACUAAAUUAUCAAAUAAAAAUUCUUAAGAGAGCUGUAUUCAAAAUGCUUAAAAACAGGUUAA